UCCUCCCCGAGGGUGGGCAGCACCUGCAGGAGUAGGGCCUGUAAGGAGCAGUUGGUGGAGGGGCCCUUUAUCCAUCCAUGUGUCCGUCCAUCCAUCCGGCCGCCACCACCCACCCGUCCUCACAUUCACUCGCUUCUCUCUGUGCCCGUCGAUGAGCAGAAGGCUGGAGUUCCAGCUGCCGCAAGGACAGAGCAGUGGCCACAAGGAUUGCCCAGAGUGGUCAGUGUUGUGGCCAGGGCCUAGGAGAGCAGAGGAGAUCCCCUGACUCAGCUCCGUGAAGUGGACUAAGCCUCCUGGAGAGGGUGAGACCGCGAAGGACCGGUCAGAUGGCCCCGCAGAUCCCCUGUGGCUGGGCCUCACGCAGCAGGACCUGCUCAAGGGGCCCUUUCCAUGCGAUCCAGUCCUCUAGUUUUGUUGUACAGCUUCACCAAGUCUUGCAUCUGUGUGACCGCCGCCCUGAACAGGAUCUUGAACAGGACCAGUGCUCCAGAAAGUUCCCUGGUGUCCGCCGCUCCCCAGGCCUGACCCCACCCCAGGCGGAACCACUAGUCUGCCCUCCCUCACGUAGAUGGUCUGGCCCUGACACCAAAGUCCUGGAAAUGUGUGCUUCUGCCGGCGGGGCUCCCCUUCCUCAGCCUGAGAGCGAGCACAUGAGCAGGGUGAGGGGCAGAGGGAGAAGUGGACUCGAUCCUGACGUGGGGCUUGAUCUCAGGACUCCAGGAUCAUGACUUGAACUGAAGGCAGAUGCUUAACUGACUGAGCCCCCCAGGUGCAUCUCUAUGGUGGGUUUUUUUAUGACCCUUCAAGUCUCAGCUUCACUGUCACCUUCCCAGAGAGGCCCUGGCCCACCACUGGGUCUACUUAAGCUGCAGCACCCUUCUUUCUUUGGUUUUGUUGGCUUCGUGGUGCUUAUUGCCAUCUGCAAUCGUCUUAGCCCUGUACUUGCUUCUUGGGUGUGAGGCCCUUACUGGAAGUUUCCUGCUCUGUGAAGGCAGGCACUUCUGCCUCGCAUAUCCCAGUGCCCAGCACGGCUUGGAGUGGUGAUCAAACAGUUGUAGGUGCGUCUGUAGGGUGCUGGGGACCCUGCUGGGCUCAGAAGGGCAGCCUCCCCUGGGGAGGUUUCCUGCAGCCGUGACCCUUGGCCCAGGAGGCAUGCCAAAGAGGGGUGGGAGCCAGGGAAGGGUAGGAGACCUGUGGGCCACCUUCAUACCUUUCUUAUCGUUUGGCUAAUGGUUUGCCAGCAGCAUUGCGCUUCUAGAAGAGGGGAGAGUGGGGUGGAGUCUGGUCUUGCCCCUUACUGCUGCCUCAGCCUGAGCUGCCCAGCAUUCAACCGUUCAAUUUUUUUAUUUUAUUUUUUAGAUUUUAUUUAUUUAUUUGACAGAGACAGAGAUCACAAGUAGGCAGAGAGGCAGGCAGAGAGAGAGGGGGAAGCAGGCUCCCCGCAGAGCAGAGAGCCCAAUGCAAGGCUCGAUCCCAGGACCCUGAGAUCCUGACCUGAGCAGAAGGCGGAGGCUUCACCCACUGAGCCACCCAGGCGCCCCUCAACUGUUUUAUAAUCACAGGUGAAGAGAAACUCCCUGCGAAAACGAGAGGUUUGGAACUCGCAGCUGUAGACGAUGGGGAGCCAUUGAGGGUGUGUGAGGAGGGGAGUGAUAUGGAGGUAGCCAGCAGUGGCAGCUGAGCCUGGGUUGGUAGAAAGAAGGGCUGAACUUGACCUGUUUGCCAUCAGUCUACCACAGGCUGGGAAACUGCAGUCUCGUGUGUGCAAGGUUGCUUUAUGCCUGGGAACAGAGUGGGGGAAGACCCACAAGUCCAGUGCAGCCAGUUGGGGUAGGGGCUGGGCUAACAGUGGGGAGCAGCACACCCCACUCCCCCACUGGGGAGUACGCAUCCCCACAAAAGACAUUAGUGCUCAAAGCAAACACUUGGACUUUGGCCUUCCGACAGGAUAGGGGGACCCCCACUCCUGAGCUCUGCCCUGUGGGCCCAAGGAUGCAGGCCGAUAGCUCUGAGGGUAAAGAAGUUCAGUGACAUUGGUGGGUCUUUCCAGUGUUUACUGAGCCUUUGUGGGUGUCAGGAAUAAUAACCAAGUGGGGACACCUGGUGGUCAGGAUAGGCCUGGGCCUGCCCUGAGGGGGCUCACAGCCUGGGGAAGCUGCAGUUAGGUCUGGGCCAGGCUGGACAGAGAACUGGUGGGCCGCACAGGACUGGGUCCUCAUGGCCCCAAAGAGACUGCCAGGAGCUGAAGUUAAUUCUCACCAGUGUUUUCCUGGUGUAGCUUAUGCCUGGAUCAUCUUUCUGUUCUAAUGCAGUUGCUUCUCACACUUUGCUGUGCAACCAUCAGGAAGAGUUUGCCUAAAAUGCAGAGUCUCCGGCCCCAUGUCCGGUGCCUUUGUGGAUGGGACCCAGUCACCCACAUUUUAAUUACCACCUUGUCUCCAUGUCUCAGGUCUCCUGUAACGAAUGACCACAAACUGGGUGACUUAAAACAACAGAGAUGUAUUUUUCCACCGCUCCAAAGGCCACAGCCCAGGCUGAGUCGCACGGGGCAAAUAGCAAGGUAUUGGGAGGGCUGGGUCCUUCUGGAGGCUCCAGGGGAGGAUCUGUUGCUUGUCACUUGCAGCUUCUGGUGGCUGCUGGUAUUCCUUGGCACAUGGCCACUUAACUCUAGCCUCUGCCUGUUUUCGCCUCCCCUUCUCUUCUGUGCAAAUCUCCCUCUGCUUCCUCUUAUAAGGACACCGUGAUUACACUCAGGGCCUGUCCAAACAAGCCAGGAUAAUCUUCCCAUGGCGAGAUCCUUAAUUUAAUCCUGCCUUCCAUGUCCCUUUUGCCUUGUAAGGGAGCAUUCACAGGUUCCAGCCAUUUUGAUCUGGAUGUCUUCAGGGAAAAUUUUUUGGCUCAUGCCUAUUCCCCUAGCAGUUCUAGUGUAGCGGGUCCUGAGAGUCCCCUGAAAACCCUGGGCUGAAGGUUUGCUUAUUUAACUGAUGGCCUCAGCUGAAGGUUUGUUUAUUUAACUGAUGGCUGCUCACUCUCACAAUUCUCUUGGAGUUUAGGGAAUGGAGCACCAUUCAGCAUUUAUUUAACAAACCCUCUUGGAGCUCCCACUCCAUGCCCAGCCCUGUGCUGGAUGCCUUGGUCAUUCAGGUGAGGUUGACUCAGCCCCUCGUGCUCUGAGUUUGGGAGAGAGAGAGAGAGAGAGAGAGAGAGAGAUAGAUCUGACUCCUGCCGCCAUCCCCAUUCCCCCGCAUCUCCCCAGUACGUGACAGCACUCUUCUGGAACUGCCCCAGCUCAAGGGUGGAGCUUGUUUUCUGCAAGCCAGAUCCUCAACAGUAGCUUGGUUCAGGAGUUCUGUUCUAUGCCGACUACUGCCCAGCAUCUCCUGAGACCGGUGCUGGCACAUUCAGAAGGGAAGGACUUUGGACCAACGGCUGCAGGAUGCCUUCUCUCCCUCCUGUUGGACUCCAGCAGGUGGCCUCCACUGUGCCUUGAGGAUUAAGCUUUUGCUGCAGAAGGGAUAACAGCCCCCCCCCCCCCCCUGCCUGCCAACCCUGGGCUGCCCGUUAUGUUUCGUUCUGGUGUCCUUACUGAUCAUGCCAGCCUGAGUCAGGAUGCUCACCAUUGGCAACCAGAAGCAUCCGCCAGUUGCCAGCCAGUUGUCCGACUGGUCUGCCCUGUGUGACCUUGAGACUGCUCUGAUCCUGGCCACCCUCUGCUCCUCACCAGCUCUCACCUGCCUAUUUGCCAUUUCCCAGAUGCCCCUUCCCCUGCUACUCCCUUUGCUUGAGUCCUCCAUUUCUUUGUUCUACAAGGUUCUGCUCAGUGGUGCUUCCUCUAUCAAGUCUUCUCAACCUCCCAGGCUGGAAAAAGCACAGUGAUAGGGCUCACCAACAGAGCGUAGCCCUCCCUGGGGCCCGGAGCUGACCAAGGCCUUUACAACGUGCUGGUAUCCUUCCUGUACUACAGCCAAGAGACCUGAGGUCUGCCCGACUCCAGGCCCACACCGGAAACGGACCACCAACUGACCCUGGCUUUCCUCUUUCUCCCAGGCUCAGCAUUUGGUUCCCCAUCCUUGAGCAGCCUGUGUCCCUCAUCCUCCUGCACCCCAGCCCAGGAGCUCGGUGGGGGCUGAGGACAGGAGCUCACCUCUCCAAGGGUAAACCUGCAGAGAGUACCCACCCCCACCAGGGCUGUACACUGACAGACAGACAGACACAAGGUGGCAGGGGAGGUGAGCCAGGAGGGAGCAUCGGCCGGUGUUGCCACAGACCCUUUAGCAGAAGAUCGAGGCAACCCCUCAUUGCCAUUCCUGAGUUGCCCAGCAGCAAGGAAAAAAUCUGGUCUAAUUUUUGCCAAGUUAUAAAACCACCAUCUCUCAAGCAACACUUUAUUCAAUCCGGCGACAGCUAAGAUCAAAUUGAGCGCUUUCUGGGUUUGGAGCCCUCCGCUCCAUUCUAUGUCCUUGACCUCCCUGGACUACAACCUCUUGAGAGGCAUGCCUUUAUAAUCCUCCUUGCACAGAGGAGGAAACUGAGGCUCAGAAACGGUGAGUGAAUCACUCAAAGUCACUUUGCUUGGAAGAGGCAGACACAGGAUUAACUCAGGUCUUUGCCCAGGCCUAGUGGAGUGACCCCAGGCUAGAAGGAAUCUUACUUUUCUAAGCCUCAGCUUCCUAGUCUGUAAAAUGGGCACAUAGCAGUGGUGAGAAUGGCGGAAACUUUUCACAGACUGUUCCUCUGGGCGAUUCUUUUCCAGCUUUUCAGGGGACAGGCUCCUUCUCUGAUCCUUUAUGUCUCAGUUUGAAUGCCCCCGCCUCAGGGAUGCCCUCUCUGACUACCUCCACCUGAAAGAGCUAGCACCCCACCUCCUGCCUUGCUCACUGGUUGCUGCCCCCCUUCCUCUUUUCAUUGUCUGGCUUAUUUUAUCCCCAGGCCUUGUCACAGGCUAUGACAUUCAUUAAUUUAUUUGUCUGUCUGUUGUCUCUUUUCUCCGGCAGACUGUGAACUCCAUGAGGGCAACAGGCUCCCGGGUGGCGUAUCUCCAGCAUCUCGUGGGGUGCCUGGCGAGAGGAGGGGCUCCUAACACACCUGUUGUAGGGGCAAAGGAGUCAUGAAACACGAUGCAUGGGGGCACCUGGGUGGCUCAGUGGGUUAAAGCCUCUACCUUUGGCUCAGGUCAUGAUUCUAGGGUCCUGGGAUUGAGCCCCACAUUGGGCUCUCUGCUCAGCAGGGAGCCUGCUUCCCUUCCUUUCUCUGCCUGCCUCUCUGACUACCUGUGAUCUCCGUCUGUCAAAUAAAUAAAUAAAAUCUUAAAAAAAAAAAAAAGAAAAAAAAGAAAGACGAUGCAUGUAAAAUGCUCAGCACAGGGCCUGCUGCCCAGCAACCUCUACGGAAGUGCUAGCCAGUCUUUACUACAAAACACAGACACAUUUCCAGCCUGUUUACAAUAACACAGUGAACCUUGGGUUGGUCACUCUCUGGGUGCCACUGCCCUGGAGAGAGCACAGGGUAGGCAGAAGUCACGGAGCACCCCCUCCCCCAAGUAUGCCUUGAGCACUGUCAGUCGCCCUUGUGGGAACAGAAUGGGGAAGGGCCUUGCUGUUGUGGAAUGUGCUGGGAGUGGGGAGGCGGGGCUGCAGGCUGGGUAGGUGUCUGAAGAACCUGUGAAGUCCUCAGAGACUCCCUUGUCCCAGCCCAGAUUGGGUUCACCUGUCCUUCCUGCCCAGCUCUCCUCAGUUCCUUCGAAGUCCCAAAGUGCCUGUAAUGACAUUUAUUUAUAGUUUGUCCCUGGAGGCUCAUCCUGGAGUUCAUGGCUGGCUGCAUCUCUAGGACUUAGCA